rnacentral:lncRNA from 1 species
UGGACAAGGGGAGAAGUUAUAACAUUAUAAUUUCAUUUAUUUGUCUCUUAUAUGGUAUUAAUUUUGUAUAUUUGGAUUCUGUACAUGGUGAACAUAGCCAAUCAUUAUUUGAGUCAAUAUCCAUUUAAAUUAACCCACAUAUUUAUCAUUUUAAUUACUUUUUUAUUCCUUCCUGUCCUUUAAGUUUUCCUCUAGAAUUAUUUUGCUUCUUACUGAGGAACACCCUUUAGUAUUUCUUUUACUGUGAGUUUGGUGGUGACAAAUUGUUCUUCAUUUGUUGGCAGUGUUUUAUUUUGCCUUCAUUUUUGAAGGAUACUUUUACUGAAUAUAGAAUUCUAAGUUGAAAGUUGUUUUCUAUUAGUAUUUUGAUGAUAUUUUAUUUUGGUUUGUCUUUUAUUGUUUUAUUGAGAAGCUUUAUAUAAUUACCUUUGCAGGCAAUCUGCUUUUCUGUCUCCUUUGAAAUUUAUCUAUUUGUCUUUGUUUUUUAACUGUUGCACAUUGAUAUGCCUAGGUGUAAUUUUUCCAUGUAUUUAUCCUCCUUGGAGUUUAUAAUGUUUUUUAAAUCUGUGGUUUAGUGGUUUUGGGGUGUGUGUGUGCACGUGUGCGUGUACGUGUGUGCACAUGUGCAUUUGGGGAAAUUCCUAGCUAUUAUCUAUUCAAAUUAUGCAUCUGCCUCAUUCUCCUUCUCUGUUUCUUUUAGGGAUAACCUUAUUACCCAGUUCUGUUGGCCUGUUUUCUAAUGGUUAUUUUUCUUGAAUUUUGCUGAUGUCCUAUCUCCUCAUAUGGUGAUUUUUAUAUCACUUGCCAGACAAUAUAUAUUAAAAUUUUAGAGGUAAUAAGAUGGUCUGGAUAAUAUCUUCUUCCAGAGAGGAUUUGCCAUAGCUUCUAACAUAGCUUCUUAGGCUAUGAUCACUAGUAAUCCCUGAUUGCCUUUAUCCAGUCAUGUAUUAAGAUAAUUUGAAACUGGGCUUGAGUCUCUAGAAGACUCAUCUUAUUUUAUUAUAUGUUCAGAAUGUGAACAUCUAAACCUUAUUUCUAGGAUACUUUUAGGACUUAGGAGUUCGGGAGGUACAUCAGGCCCCUCCUCUUUGGAAAGACUUGAAUUCUAGUAUUUCUCCUUCGGUCACUUGAAUUUGUCAAAAAUUCUCUCCAGCCUCUCUUGCCCAGUAUUUGCUGUCAGAAUUAGCAAAUACCUCUUAGUAAUAAACAGUUUCAGACAUUAUGUCCCAAAUAUGAGACUUUAUGUCUUGUCUCCAAUUUUAUUCCUGCAGUUUCUCACUGCCGUGGUAGCUUUCUUAUGCCUUCAAAAAAUUAAAUAUGUUUAAUAUUUUCAUUCACCUUUUUUAGUUCCCAAAGGAAGUACUAGUCUGUACCACCUACUCUGCCACUGGCAGAUGUUUUUAAUUCGUUGAGAUAGCUACUUGUAUUUAAGAAGUAUCAAGACCAAAAAUAUAUUUUCUUAAUUUCCAAAAUUACUGACUUGUAAAUGAAAAUGCUUAGAUUUGCAGCAUUACUUUAUUCCAAUCUUUUGUUGCUAAAAGUCUUAAGGCAUUCACCCAUUUGUUAAAACCUUUACAGCCAGGCGCGGUGGCUCACUCCUGUAAUCCCAGCACUUUGGGAGGCCGAGGCGGGUGGAUCAUGAGGUCAGGAGAUCGAGACCAUCCCGGCUAACACGGUGAAAACCUGUCUCUACUAAAAAUACAAAAAAUCAGCCGGGCGUGAUGGUGGGCACCUGUAGUCCCAGCUACUCGGGAGGCUGAGGCAGGAGAAUGGCGUUAAUCCAGGAGGCGGAGCUUGCAGUGAGCCAAAAUCGCAGCACUGCACUCCAGCCUGGGCGACAGAGCGAGACUCCAUCUCAAAAAAAAAAAAAAAAAAAAAAAAACCUUUACAAACUUUGAUACGUAAGAGAAAAUUACCUCUGGUGGUUUCAGAUUUUAUUGUGGUAGCUGCCAAAUUUAGCAAAUGGAAGAGAUUCACUAAAAGCUUCUCAGAUGUCUUUUUUAAUACUAUGGCUUUUCCUUUGUACAAUUAAUAGAAAAUGGGGUUAAUGAAGACUGGUAUAGAGUCCCAGGGUUUGAAAAAUUAACUUAGUAGGAUAACUGAGAUAGUGAUUCUCAACCUUUAUUCUCAGGCACAUUUUAAAAAAUAGAAUGUUAUACUCCCAAGAAAAAGAAGAAACUAUAAAAGAGCUACUUGACCUUUUGUCAACACAGUAUUAAUCUCUAGAAGAAAGAAAGACUUUCUUCUGUGAGAUUUCUUGCGUCUCAAGGGGCACUUGUGAACUGAUUGAGGAAUAAAUGGUGGAAAACUAUAAGUGAAUUGGGAGAGCUAAAUGUUAAGUAGAACUCAAAGGUCAGUAUAGAUUGGAAGCAUGUGGAAUAUAGACUUUACUAGGGAAAACACUGUAGGUUAGCCGUAUCUUUUUUAUUUAUUUAUUUUUUUUUUUUGAGACAGAGUCUUGCUCUGUCACCCAGGCUGGAGUGCAAUGGCGGGCAAUCUUGGCUCACUGCAACCUCCACCUCCUGGGUUCAAGUGAUUCUCAUGCCUCAGCCUCCCAAGUAGCUGGGAUUACAGGCAUGCACCACAACGCCCAGCGAAUUUUUGUAUUUUUAGGAGAGACAGGGUCUCGCCAUGUUGGCCAGGCUGGUCUCGAACUCCUGGCCUCAAGUGAUCCACCCACCUCAUCCUCCCAAAGUUCUGGGAUUACAGGCAUGGCCCAGCCAGCCAUAUCUUUUUAUGCCAGCACUCUAUUAUAGUUCAUUUACAGCAAACUAUUUUAAGACAGUUUUACAGUUUAAAUAUUUUAAUAAAAAUGCAUUUUAUUCUAUUUUAUUAAUUUUAAUUUUUUUUUUUUAGUGACAGGGUCUCACUCUGUCACCCCGGGUGGAGUGGUAUGAUCAUAGUUCACUGUAGCCUUGAACUCCUUGGCUCAAGCAACCUUCCUGCCUUAUCCUUCCAAGUAGCUUGGACCACAGGCAUGUGCCACUACACCUGGCUUUUUUUUUUCUUGAGACAGAGUUUCCGCUCUUGUUGCCCAGGCUGGAGUGCAAUGGUGCAACCUUGGCUCACUGCAACCUCUGCCUCCCGGGUUCAGGCGAUUCUCCUGCCUCAGCCUCCCAAGUAGUGAGGACUACAGGC